UCAACUCAUUUUUUAUUCGACAAGUAUUUACCUAAAAAAAUAUUCGAGUGCAGAAAUUGGAUCAAGGGCGUAGAAAAUCCAUUAAAACAAAAUCAAAAUCUUCUUUCGGUACCUCUCCAUUACUGGAGGUUGGCCGUCAGUCUCGUGAAGUGUGUCUCCUUUAAAAUUGCGCUAGAAGUGGCCCAGGUACGCCAGGGAUAAAAAAAUAUUAUCACAAAAAAAUUGAACAAAUUAUCUGGAUUGUUUGAUAUUUUAUAAAAAAUUCAAGAAAAAUAAUAUAACAUAUGACUAUAUUCACCAAUAGUUGCUACUAUAAAGGUAUAGGAAAGUAAAAGUUUUGAUGAUGUAAUCUAAGCCAAAAAUACAAUUGUAUUACUCUUUUCAAAGUAGAUUUUAUAUCAAUAGUAUAGGACCUACUUUAUUUCUGUAAUAGUAUAUGGGUCAUUGGUUUUGAGUAUUAAGCCAAAAAAGAAAGGAGUCGCCUUUACGCGCGUCCCCUCUGUCAAAGUACGAACCCGCUGGACAUACGCGUUAUAUAAAUCUGUUUCUCGACCCUUCCGCGCCAUUCCGGUACGACGCUUGUUAGUGUAAAGAGCUCCGACAAAAAAUGACUGGAUGCAGUGUAUUCGGCUGUAAAAAAAGGUCUGACACAUCGAGUGUACAAAAAGACAACGUGACAUUUCAUCUAUUUCCAAAAGACCCUAUCCGUCGACAACAAUGGAUAAAAGCUUGUGAAAAUCACAGAACAUGGCUACCCAAACGUACAAGUAAAGUUUGCUCCGUUCAUUUUGAUACGUCAUGUUUCUUGUUGCUGGCUAACAACAAAAGAAAAUUAAAGGAAUCAGCAACACCUACUUUGAAAUUACCAAAUAAAUUUAUUCUGUCAACAUACGAAGCAAAUAGAUCUUUAUGAUUGUUAUUUUAAACUAACCUUCUACUUGCGAAUUCGUCUGGGCGGAUUUUGGAUUGUAACAAUUUUUUGACUAUCCCUUGGGGACCUUACACAUUUCCGGGAUAAAUCAUAGUCUGUGUUAGUAGUGCUUGUUCCCUACACCCCCCAAAUUUCAUCGAAAUCAGUCAAGCCGUUAAGCGUGAAAGAGAAACAAACACAAAUAAAAAUUCAUACUUUCACAUUUAUAAUACUAUAGUCCGCUUUACAUUUGUGUAAGUGAUCGCCAAAAGCAUUAUACCUUGUCUCCUUCAAACUUAAACACAAUAACAAAAUUAAUUUGCAGCUCAAUAACGCGUUCGUCAUAUAAGUAUAACAGUACAAGAUUGAAACACUGAUUUAGUAUUACAAACUUGUUGUCGCGUUAACAAAGUAUGGCGCGAUUUGUUAUUGAAGCGCAACUAAUUUUGUAACCUUAAACACAGAUUGAUAGAGACAUGUUAUUGGAGCGGGACGCAUCGCCUUUCAGUGUCCUUCUUGAUGCACUACUUCACCUUAGUGAAAGUUAAUGAAGCCAUGAGGGACGGUACCCAAACCAAAGUCCGUUAUUAGCUUGAGUCACGCAAGAACUUGACACUACUUAUCCUUAUACACACUGAAACUGACCAAUUCAUAGAGUUUGGGUACAGUCGCUUGUGGUGCCAUUAGUUCACAAUUUGCCACCCCAUGUGUGAAAAAAAUUUUUUUUAGAAUAUUUCUGCUAUUGCAGAAUAGAAUGAACAACUGAAUGAUUGAAUGAAUAAAUUUUAUCGACAUGGUGGUAGCUCUAAUUAUCUCGGGAUUGUUGCGUAUGUGUGCUGUACAUGUAACGUGUAAAGAUACGAUUUCUAUAAAUGUGUGCGUUGCGGUUACUCUUGUGUAAGCAAAUUAGGUUUGUGUGCGUGUGUACAAACAUUGUGCAAUUUGUUUCUGUAGUAAAAUUUUGUCUGUGUGAGUGCCUCGUCCCCCGCCGAUGUUUUGGCAGAAAAAUUAAUUAGCAUCGUUCGAGUGAUGGCGUCUCCUUUCUGGCUUAAUACUCAAAGGUCAUUGGCAAGUUUCGCGCAGGUAACCUAGUCCCUCAACUGUGAUUAU